rnacentral:rRNA from 1 species
CGCGUAGGCGGCCAUGUAAGUCAGAUGUGAAAGCCCGGGGCUCAACCCCGGAAGUGCAUUUGAUACUGUAUGGCUUGAGUAUGGGAGAGGGAAGUGGAAUUCCUGGUGUAGAGGUGAAAUUCGUAGAUAUCAGGAGGAACACCGGUGGCGAAGGCGACUUCCUGGACCAAUACUGACGCUGAGGCGCGAAGGCGUGGGUAGCAAACA